CCUACGGGGGGCAGCAGUGAGGAAUAUUGGUCAAUGGACGGAAGCCUGAACCAGCCAUGCCGCGUGCAGGAAGACGGCCCUAUGAGUUGUAAACUGCUUUUGUACAAGGGUAAACCUGAAUACGUGUAUUCAGCUGAAAGUACUGUACGAAUAAGGAUCGGCUAACUCCGUGCCAGCAGCCGCGGUAAUACGGAGGAUCCAAGCGUUAUCCGGAUUUAUUGGGUUUAAAGGGUGCGUAGGCGGAUUGAUAAGUUAGAGGUGAAAUGUCCGAGCUUAACUCGGGAACUGCCUCUAAUACUGUUGAUCUAGAGAGUAGAUGCGGUAGGCGGAAUGUAUGGUGUAGCGGUGAAAUGCUUAGAGAUCAUACAGAACACCGAUUGCGAAGGCAGCUUACCAAUCUAUAUCUGACGUUGAGGCACGAAAGCGUGGGGAGCAAACAGGAUUAGAUACCCUGGUAGUC
rnacentral:rRNA from 1 species